rnacentral:rRNA from 1 species
CCUACGGGGGGCAGCAGUGAGGAAUAUUGGUCAAUGGGCGAGAGCCUGAACCAGCCAAGUCGCGUGAGGGAGUACUGCCCUAUGGGUUGUAAACCUCUUUUGUCGGGGAGCAAAAGCCGGACGUGUCCGGCUGUGAGAGUACCCGAAGAAAAAGCAUCGGCUAACUCCGUGCCAGCAGCCGCGGUAAUACGGGGGAUGCGAGCGUUAUCCGGAUUUAUUGGGUUUAAAGGGUGCGCAGGCGGAUUUUUAAGUCAGCGGUAAAAUCGUGGGGCUCAACCCCAUCCAGCCGUUGAAACUGGGGAUCUAGAGUGUGCGUGAGGUAUGCGGAAUGCGUGGUGUAGCGGUGAAAUGCAUAGAUAUCACGCAGAACCCCGAUUGCGAAGGCAGCAUACCGGUGCACAACUGACGCUCAGGCACGAAAGCGUGGGUAUCGAACAGGAUUAGAUACCCCAGUAGUC